rnacentral:rRNA from 1 species
AGGACUAACGCUGGCGGCGUGCCUAACACAUGCAAGUCGAACGAGAGUAGCAAUACUCUAGUGGCAGACGGGUGAGUAACACGUGGUCAACCUACCUCUUAGUGGGGGAUAACUAGCCGAAAGGUUAGCUAAUACCGCAUUCGAUCUUCGAUCGGCAUCGAUUGAAGAUGAAAGGCGCAAGUCGCUAAGAGACGGGACCGCGUCCCAUUAGCUAGUUGGUAGGGUAAUGGCCUACCAAGGCGACGAUGGGUAGCUGGCUUGAGAGAGCGACCAGCCACACUGGGACUGAGACACGGCCCAGACUCCUACGGGAGGCAGCAGUGAGGAAUUUUCCGCAAUGGGCGAAAGCCUGACGGAGCGACGCCGCGUGUGGGAAGAAGGCCUUCGGGUCGUAACCACUGUCGAAGGGAAGAUAUUGACGGUACCCUUGGAGGAAGCCCGGCUAACUACGCGCCAGCAGCCGC